rnacentral:lncRNA from 1 species
CAUCGUGUGCUGGGGCCCAGGGGGUCUCGGGCCUGGGCGGCAGGGAGGCCCUGCCCUCCUUACCCAGUUCUGCUGAGGACUCCCUCCACCUGAGUCAGAGGGGAAAGUGGGUGAUGCGCUUGUGCAGACGGGGCUCUGGAGCCUCGGGGAGCUAUUGGUGGCAGAGCAUCUCACUUAGAAGUAGGCGGCUGAGCUUCCAGGGGCAAGGCAGGAGGCCAGUGGAGCCAGGAAGUGCUGGGCCUGAGGACCGAGGAUGGGGCUGUGCUGUUGAGGAAUAAGGAGUGAUGGGUGAGGGUGGAAGGGAGCCCGUCUGGGGAUCAGGGAGCUUUGUGGGGGCGAGGACUGCCCCCACCAGGAAGUCUGGGUGGGGAGCUGUGCCUACAGUCCUCAGCAGCCUGCAGUGGGGAGGAACCCUGGGGAAGGGCAGGCUCCGUUUUGACUGGAUUGAGAGCUUUCUUCAAGGUCUCCCCAGUAGCGAUCCACACCCCUUCCUCCCCUCUGCCCUCCUAGGUUUCCCCCAGCAAGGAGGACAACAUGGGUCUAAAUCUAUCACUGACAUCUCUGCUUAUUAGCUGAUCCUUGCCACCUGGCUAACUCCGACCACAGCAAAACUGAGAGUUCCGAGGGCUUCUCAGAGGCCCAGGUCAAGAAAUAGACUACUGUCAGCACCCCAGAAGUCCCGUGUCCUUCCCUGAUCACAGCCCCAUCCUUCCGCCCUGGAGGGAACCAGUAUCCUGACUUUUGUGAUCCUCAUUUCCUUGUUUGUCUUCCAAAGCAUUUAGUCUCUUAGAUGUUAUCAUCUUUGAGUUUCACAAUAACCUUCUUAUUCCCAUUUUACAGAUGAAGAAACUGAGGCUCAGAAAGGUUAAAUAACUAGUCCAAGGCCACCCAGCAAGUAAGUGGUAAAACCAGGAUCAUAUUUGGAUUGGCUGAUGCCCAGGGCAGUUUCUUAGUCAAACCAGAAUCCACAGGAAACCCUGAGACAACCUUGGUGUUGGAGCCCGACACCCCAGUGCCCCUGAGAAGGGGAGGCCACCUUCACAGCCUGCCCAGGUGCUCCCCUCCCAGAUGUGUUGACUCACGUGACUCCGCAGGGUCCUGCUGUAUGAGUACCUGGCAGGAUGUGAUAGAGCCCAUUGGAAGUUGGGAGAGCAAGAGGAGCUGGGGGCUGAUCUGGGACGGGACCGAUGCCUAGAGAGAGCUUUGGGCCCUGCCUGACACAUGCCCAGGGAACCCGGGACUGAGAGGAUGUGCCUGAACCAGGUGUGUGCCCAAGUUUUUGCCAGAAUUACCAGGUGCGCCCUCCUUGGUGGGCCAGGUGUGCUUGGUGUGAGCAUGCAAGUGUGUUGUGCACCUGGCAUGUCCGUGUGCAUACCCAGCUCUAGCUACACACUUGGAUUGCUCUGAACCAUUUUCCCCAUCCUCAUCUUUUUUCUGUUAAUUAUAAAAUUAUAUGUGCUUCUUAUAAAAAGUUCAAAUGUAAAGUCUCUCCUCUUCUCUAAUUCUAAUCCAAAUGAUCCUAGACUUAAUUUCUUUGAACAAUUUGGCAUUUAUCCUUCUUUCUAAGCACAUUCAAAUAUAUAGUUAUUUAGAAAGCCACAUCCAAAUGCAGUAGUUUUAGGUUUAAUUAUUUUUAACAAAAUAGUAUCAGAAUCUACAGAUUGUUUUUCAACUUUUUUUUUCACUUCGAUUCCUUGGUCGUCUUCCCUGUCACUGUGUAUGGAUUUACUUCACUGUUUUUAACAGCUGAAGAAUAUUCCAGUAAAUGGAUGUUCCAUCGUUCAUUUACCUGGGUGGACCCCUCUGUGUCCUGGCUCCCCUGUUCUCCCAGAAGCUGAGAGAGUAGGUGUAAGAGGAAGGGGAGGACAAGGAGACUGGCCCUGCCCUGGGAGGCAGCCCAUCCCAGCUGCCCUUUGACCUCCUGCAAGUGGAUUCCCUUACAACCCCCCCAGC